AGUUCAUGAGAGACAGAAUAAUAAGAAUGAAGCGGCAGGCUUCUUCUUCAAAGUUGUUUCGAACUUCUCUAGCUUUUGUGCAUUGUAGUUUUGGAGUCACGCAUUGUGAAUGAAAAAGGGCUAAUUGAUUUCUAUAUUAAGGUUUAACUAUUCCUGUGCAGCUAGUUCAUGCAACACAUUUACAAAAACAUUUGCUGGGAUUGACGGGGCUGGAAAAAGAUUAGCUGAUGAAGUCAGUAUAACUAGUUACGUUUGUGUGUGUGUGUUUUUGUACCAGUUUCACAAAUUUAUUCUACUAAUGUUUGUGAGUGUGUGCGUGCGAGUACCUGUUCUAACAGUCUAUGCUCAGGCUGAGAAAGGAAAAGUUUGGUUUGCAUUUUGGGCAGUCUCUUUGUGCAAACAAGAUUACAAGUUUAAAUCAACACAUUAUCUUUCCUCUUUUUGGCUUCUUCCAAACAUUGAAGAAACCAACACACACUUACUUUCCAGCUUUAGUUCUGAUUUUGUAGCCUGUGCAUGUGGUAAUUAUCUAUUAUGUGGUUGUAAACAGGUCAUGCAAGUCGUUAAAAGGACUGACAGCUUAAAAGGAUCUCCUUUUUAGCCCAUUCUCUUGGUGGAUUGUUUGCCUGAUAUGCAAUUUCCGUUCUCUAUUCACCAGCUGCCUUGAGCACUGAUGAGUGUAAUGAAGUCCCUGCUUCUACUAAUUCAAACUCAGAAACAACAUCCCUUCAAGAAGAGGUUUGGUUGCAGGGUUGGAGCCAGUCAAUUUUAUUACCCUGGCAACUCCACAUCUUGGGGUGAGAGGGAAGAAGCAGUACAUAUGCAAGUGAGUGCGUGUUAUUUUUGUAGUUCAUUGAAGCACUUGUCAUCUAUCUCUCAGACAAGUACCCGAUCAAAUAUGAGGCCGAGUGUUGGUAUUGCCGGUUUGAGACCAUGGCUUAUCAACCAAACCGAACAGCCUAAACCGCAACCAAACCGACCGAACCGUGAAACACUCACAGACGGGUGUGGAUGGAGAAAAUAAUAAUCCGGCGAUGCUCCGAAACGAUUCGCCCAAAACUAAACUGUGUACAUCCCUAGGUAAUUCUCUAACUAAUUCUCUUUAGUGCCACCAAGAAGUGGAUCCCAUACUACUUACUAAUGAAUCGAUUUUGUGUUUUGAGCCAAUAUCAAGUUUCAAAAGAUAAUUCGAAUUGGGGUGGGUAGUUUUGUAGGCAUGGGCAAUUUGCUAUUUGCACGUAGGGGUCCUACAAGUAGUACUUACAGUGUAGAUGAGCUCAGUUUCAUUCCAAUACUCUGAGAAACAUUAUGGCCUUGUUCGUUUGCUAGUUUAGGGUAUUUUAUUUUUGGUAGUAGGUGGAGAGAGAAAUAGGGUUAUGAUUGGAGGGAGGGGUAAUGAGUAGAGUGAGAUAGAGAGAGAAAUGAAAAUAAUAAUUAGAAAAUAGGGUAAUGAACUAAUGAUUAGAGAGAGAAAUAGGGUAAUAAUUAGAAAACAAAACUAAAACAAAGUUAAAAAACCAAACGAACAAAGCCAUAUAUCUGGGCCCAUAUUGGAAUCUUAGUCAAUUAUUCUCUUUAACUCAUGUUAGGCUCCCACUUCCUAAGAAUCAUCAAUCUACCUACAAAGUGCCAAGGACCACAGUCAAUAAGUUUCCUGUAAGCCUCUUCAUCAUUGAGUUGAAUGAAGAAGAAUUCCCUCCCUUUUGACAAAACCUUGAUAAGAUCCAAUUCCUCUGAAAUUUCAUGAAAAUAGAUUUAA